rnacentral:tRNA from 1 species
AUCGGGGUGGCCAAGUGGUUACGGCGUUGGACUAAAGUUCCAAUGGACAAAAGUCCUCGUGGGUUCAAACCCCACUCCUGGUA